rnacentral:misc_RNA from 1 species
GCAGCUUGAAUUUCAUAGAAAUGACUAAAAGAGAAGGAUGAAACAAGGCCCUCAUCUUACUGCAAUGUGAAUUUUAUGGUUUAAGAACUUCAAUAUACAAGAUUUUAUUUACACGUGAAUUGUCUUCAAUCAUGAACAUGGAAACCUAGAAAAAUGGCCAAUGAAAAACACCAUAAUUACCAUGGUUUAUAAUCCAACAAUAACUGCAUCCUUAUUAGCUCAUUUCGAAAGUUCAUAUUAGGCAUAAAUUAAUAAAAAAAACCUGGCCUACAAUUCCCGAUUUUUCACAUAAUACAGCAGUCCUUUGUGAGAAAUUUUCAUCACCGUCACGAACGAAUAGUAAAAAAAAAAAUCCAUACCAUAUUAAAUUCUGCUGAUAAAGACUAUAUUGAGCAUUAUAGAGGAAUUUU